rnacentral:rRNA from 1 species
AUCUUCCGCAAUGGGCGAAAGCCUGACGGAGCAACGCCGCGUGAGUGAUGAAGGGUUUCGGCUAGUACAACUCUGUUAUUAGGGAAGAACAAAUGGGUAAGUAACUGUCCACAUCUUGACGGUACCUAAUAAGAAAUCCACGGCUAACUACGUGCCAGCAGCCGCGGUAAUACGUAGGUGGCAAGCGUUAUCCGGAAUUAUUGGGCGUAAAGCGCGCGUAGGCGGUUUCUUAAGUCUGAUGUGAAAGCCCACGGCUCAACCGUGGAGGGUCAUUGGAAACUGGGAAACUUGGGUGCAGAAGAGGAAAGUGGAAUUCCAUGUGUAGCGGUGAAAUGCGCAGAGAUAUGGAGGAACACCAGUGGCGAAGGCGACUUUCUGGUCUGUAACUGACGCUGAUGUGCGAAAGCGUGGGGAUCAAACA